AGAGUUUGAUCCUGGCUCAGAUUGAACGCUGGCGGUAUGCUUAACACAUGCAAGUCGAACGGUAACAGGCCUUCGGGCGCUGACGAGUGGCGGACGGGUGAGUAACGCGUAGGAAUCUGCCUCAUAGUGGGGGACAACGUGGGGAAACUCACGCUAAUACCGCAUACGCCCUACGGGGGAAAGCGGGGGAUCUUCGGACCUCGCGCUAUGAGAUGAGCCUGCGUUAGAUUAGCUAGUUGGUAGGGUAAAGGCCUACCAAGGCGACGAUCUAUAGCUGGUCCGAGAGGACGAUCAGCCACACUGGGACUGAGACACGGCCCAGACUCCUACGGGAGGCAGCAGUGGGGAAUAUUGGACAAUGGGCGCAAGCCUGAUCCAGCAAUACCGCGUGUGUGAAGAAGGCCUUAGGGUUGUAAAGCACUUUCAAUUGGGAGGAAAACCUGCCGGUCAAUACCCGGCAGCUUGACAUUACCUUUAGAAGAAGCACCGGCUAACUCCGUG
rnacentral:rRNA from 1 species